rnacentral:rRNA from 1 species
GAUGAACGCUAGCGGGAGGCCUAACACAUGCAAGCCGAGCGGUAUUGUUUCUUCGGAAAUGAGAGAGCGGCGUACGGGUGCGGAACACGUGUGCAACCUGCCUUUAUCUGGGGGAUAACCUUUCGAAAGGAAGAUUAAUACUCCAUAAUAUAUUGAACGGCAUCGUUUAAUAUUGAAAGCUCCGGCGGAUAGAGAUGGGCACGCGCAGGAUUAGCUAGUUGGUGAGGUAACGGCUCACCAAGGCGAUGAUCUUUAGGGGGCCUGAGAGGGUGAUCCCCCACACUGGUACUGAGACACGGACCAGACUCCUACGGGAGGCAGCAGUGAGGAAUAUUGGUCAAUGGGUGCAAGCCUGAACCAGCCAUCCCGCGUGAAGGACGACUGCCCUAUGGGUUGUAAACUUCUUUUGUAUAGGGAUAAACCUACCCUCGUGAGGGUAGCUGAAGGUACUAUACGAAUAAGCACCGGCUAACUCCGUGCCAGCCGCCGCCGUAAUAC